rnacentral:rRNA from 1 species
UACGGAGGGUGCAAGCGUUAUCCGGAUUUACUGGGGUUAAAGGGUGCGUAGGUGGGUCUGUAAGUCAGUGGUGAAAUCUCCGAGCUUAACUCGGAAACUGCCAUUGAUACUAUAGGUCUUGAAUUAUCUGGAGGUGAGCGGAAUAUGUCAUGUAGCGGUGAAAUGCUUAGAUAUGACAUAGAGCACCAAUUGCGAAGGCAGCUCACUACGGAUAUAUUGACACUGAGGCACGAAAGCGUGGGGAUCAAACAGG